rnacentral:rRNA from 1 species
ACACCAGCUCUUCAAGUGGUCGGGAUAAUUAUUGGGCUUAAAGCGUCCGUAGCCGGUUUAGUUAGUUCCUGGUAAAAUCGGGUCGCUUAACUAUCUGUAUGCUAGGAAUACUGCUAUACUAGAGGGCGGGAGAGGUUUGAGGUACUACAGGGGUAGGGGUGAAAUCUUAUAAUCCUUGUAGGACCACCAGUGGCGAAGGCGUCAGACUGGAACGUGCCUGACGGUGAGGGACGAAAGCCAGGGGAGCGAACCGGAUUAGAGACCCGAGUAGUCC